CCCAGAUGGGUUCUGAGACACGAACCCAGGUCCUAAGGGACGCAGCAGGCGCGGAACCUCCGCAAUGCACACAAGUGUGAACGGGGGGACCUCAAGUGCUAGCACCACAAGUGUUAGCUUUUAGCGAGUUUAAAUUGCUCGCAGAAUAAGUGGUGGGUAAGACCGUUGCCAGCCGCCGCGGUAAUAACGGCACCACAAGUGGUGAUCACGCGUAUUGGGUCUAAAGCAUCCGUAGCCGGAUAGUCAAGUCAUUUGUGAAACUUCACAGAAAACUGUGAAAAGUGCAAGUGAAACUAACUAUCUUGGGACCGGGAAGGGUUAGAGGUACUUCUAGGGUAGAGGUGGAAUUCUGUAAUCCUAGAGGGACCACCUGUGGCGAAGGCGUCUAACUGGAACGGAUCCGACGGUGAGGGAUGAAAGCUAGGGGAGCAAAGGGGAUUAGAUACCCCCGUAGUCCUAGCUGUAAACGAUGCCCGCUAGGUAUUGCCUGUUUUUCGUGAACAGGCAGUGCCGUAGGGAAGCCAUUAAGCGGGCCACCUGGGAAGUACGGUCGCAAGGCUGAAACUUAAAGGAAUUGGCGGGGGAGCAC
rnacentral:rRNA from 1 species